GACGAGCCACACGAACGUUAUUCGGAAUUACUGGGCUUAAAGGGUGCGUAGGCGGUGCGGAAAGUUGGGUGUGAAAUCCCUCGGCUCAACCGAGGAACUGCGCCCAAAACUACCGUACUUGAGGAAGAUAGAGGUGAGCGGAACUUACAGUGGAGCGGUGAAAUGCGUUGAUAUUGUAAGGAACACCCGUGGCGAAAGCGGCUCACUGGGUCUUUUCUGACGCUGAUGCACGAAAGCUAGGGGAGCAAACGGG
rnacentral:rRNA from 2 species